AGAACGAACGCUGGCGGCAUGCCUAACACAUGCAAGUCGAACGAGACCUUCGGGUCUAGUGGCGCACGGGUGCGUAACGCGUGGGAAUCUGCCCUUGGGUUCGGAAUAACAGUUAGAAAUGACUGCUAAUACCGGAUGAUGUCUUCGGACCAAAGAUUUAUUGCCCAGGGAUGAGCCCGCGUAGGAUUAGCUUGUUGGUGAGGUAAAGGCUCACCAAGGCGACGAUCCUUAGCUGGUCUGAGAGGAUGAUCAGCCACACUGGGACUGAGACACGGCCCAGACUCCUACGGGAGGCAGCAGUGGGGAAUAUUGGACAAUGGGCGAAAGCCUGAUCCAGCAAUGCCGCGUGAGUGAUGAAGGCCUUAGGGUUGUAAAGCUCUUUUGCCAGGGAUGAUAAUGACAGUACCUGGAGAAUAAGCUCCGGCUAACUCCGUGCCAGCAGCCGC
rnacentral:rRNA from 1 species